rnacentral:rRNA from 1 species
AGCAGCCGCGGUAAUUCCAGCUCCAAUAGCGUAUAUUAAAGUUGCUGCAGUUAAAAAGCUCGUAGUUGAAUUUCGGGACCAAUAUGUCGGUCGUGCCUCGGUACGUACUGGCAUCGUUGGUUUCUCCCUUCUGAAGAACCAUGAUGUCAUUUAUUUGGUGUCGUGGGGAAUCAGGACUGUUACUUUGAAAAAAUUAGAGUGUUUAAAGCAGGCUCACGCUUGAAUACAUUAGCAUGGAAUAAUGAAAUAGGACGUUUGAUUCUAUUUUGUUGGUUUCUAGGAUUGACGUAAUGAUUAAUAGGGAUAGUUGGGGGCAUUAGUAUUCAAUUGUCAGAGGUGAAAUUCUUGGAUUUAUUGAAGACUAACUACUGCGAAAGCAUUUGCCAAGGAUGUUUUCAUUAAUCAAGAACGAAAGUUGGGGGCUCGAAGACGAUCAGAUACCGUCCUAGUCUCAACCAUAAACGAUGCCGACCAGGGAUCGGCGGAUGUUGCUCUAAGGACUCCGCCAGCACCUUCUG